AGCGAACGCUGGCGGCAGGCCUAACACAUGCAAGUCGAACGAACCUUUCGGGGUUAGUGGCGGACGGGUGAGUAACACGUGGGAACGUGCCUUUAGGUUCGGAAUAACUCAGGGAAACUUGUGCUAAUACCGAAUGUGCCCUUCGGGGGAAAGAUUUAUCGCCUUUAGAGCGGCCCGCGUCUGAUUAGCUAGUUGGUUGAGGUAAUGGCUCACCAAGGCGACGAUCAGUAGCUGGUCUGAGAGGAUGAUCAGCUACAUUGGGACUGAGACACGGCCCAAACUCCUACGGGAGGCAGCAGUGGGGAAUCUUGCGCAAUGGGCGAAAGCCUGACGCAGCCAUGCCGCGUGAAUGAUGAAGGUCUUAGGAUUGUAAAAUUCUUUCACCGGGGACGAUAAUGACGGUACCCGGAGAAGAAGCCCCGGCUAACUUCGUG
rnacentral:rRNA from 1 species